GACGAACCGUGCGAACGGUGUUCGGAAUCACUGGGCUUAAAGGGCGCGUAGGCGGGCUGACAAGUCUGGGGUGAAAUGCCACGGCUCAACCGUGGAACUGCCUCAGAUACUGUCGGCCUCGAGGGAGGUAGGGGCGUGCGGAACUGUAGGUGGAGCGGUGAAAUGCGUUGAUAUCUACAGGAACUCCGGUGGCGAAGGCGACUACCUGGCCCAUUCUUGACGCUGAGGCGCGAAAGCUAGGGGAGCGAACGGG
rnacentral:rRNA from 1 species